rnacentral:misc_RNA from 1 species
UCUCCGUUGGUGAACCAGCGGAGGGAUCAUUACCGAAGUUACCUUCAAAACCCACCGUGAACCUUACCUCUUGCCGCGUUGUCUCGGCGGGAGGCGGUGUGCGUCGCGCGCCCUAGCGGGCCGUGCCGCUCCCGUCCCCGCCGGCAGCGCCAAACUCUAAAUGCACAGCGGACUGUACGUUCUGAUUUACAAAAAAAACAAGUUAAAACUUUCAACAACGGAUCUCUUGGUUCUG